CAUAUCCUGCAAAGAAAAUAAAAUGUUAGAACCCCUUUUUUAAGAGAAUUCAUACCAAUGAUUCUCAUAUUGACACCUAAAAUCAAGAGCUUCAACAAACCCAAAGUAAUAUGAAGAAGAUCACUACUUCAACCGUUAUUGGAAGAAAAAGGAAACAACAUUUUGACAACAUAGUAAUGGAAUAGAAGAAGGUCGAAGAUUAUAAACUUCCUACCGCUAAACGAGCAGAGAUAAUUGGAUUGAAAGUUCAAGAAACGAACAGAGAAGGAAGCUGUUGAACGAAGAACAUGGGUCAGAACAAAUGGGAGAGAUCAAUACGCAGAGAUGGAUUUGUGGAUAUUUAUACAUGGGCUUGAAGGAUUUGGGCUCUCCAUAUAUUUUUGUUGGGCUGUAUAAUUUCUUGGGCUUCAUGUUCUACUAACUUCUUGCACGCAAAUUAUGCUGUGCAACCGAAUGCACCUUGCAAGGUGCA